rnacentral:misc_RNA from 1 species
CAACCCUCAAGCCCUGCUUGGUGUUGGGCCCUGCCCGUUGCGGCCGGCCCUAAAGUCAGUGGCGGCGCCGUCCGGCUCUAAGCGUAGUACAUCUCUCGCUCUAGGGACCCGCGGUGGCUUGCCAGCAACCCCAACUCCUAU